CUACGUGCCAGCAGCCGCGGUAAUACGGAGGAUGCGAGCGUUAUCCGGAUUUAUUGGGUUUAAAGGGAGCGUAGGCGGAUUGUUAAGUCAGCGGUUAAAGGGUGUGGCUCAACCAUGCAUUGCCGUUGAAACUGGCGAUCUUGAGUGCAGACAGGGAUGCCGGAAUUCGUGGUGUAGCGGUGAAAUGCUUAGAUAUCACGCAGAACUCCGAUUGCGAAGGCAGCUUACUAAGGUACAACUGACGCUGAAGCACGAAAGCGUGGGUAUCAAACAGGAUUAGAUACCCUGGUAGUCCACGCAGUAAACGAUGAUAACUGGGCGUAUGCGAUAUACAGUAUGCUCCUAAGCGAAAGCGUUAAGUUAUCCACCUGGGGAGUACGCCGGCAACGGUGAAACUCAAAGGAAUUGACGGGGGCCCGCACAAGCGGAGGAACAUGUGGUUUAAUUCGAUGAUACGCGAGGAACCUUACCCGGGAUUGAA
rnacentral:rRNA from 1 species